rnacentral:lncRNA from 1 species
GCGGAUGCAGAGCACGAGAGAUCCCCAAGGGAUUAUGCUCCUGUGGGCGUCAGUAAAAUGAGAGAAAUUAAUGACGAUGCCUGGUUUUGGAUGUCUUUCAGGCUUAACAAGUAUAGAUCUGAUGGGAGAAAUGGAGAGUUGCGCAAAGUGAUUUGGGAUACCUCAGGAAUAAGGGGACAAGAUGGAUAUUUAAAUGACACGCCAUACCCUUUCCGUAGGUGCGUGGGACUAAAUCUCCCUACACCAGCAUGGAUUAGAAUUAAUGGGGCCCAAAGAGAAAAUAAGAAUAUAAAGACUACAAUGAUCAUGUCCAAAGGUUUAUUGAUCCAAAACGAAAACAGAGAGUACAGAUCUGCCUGUUUGGAAUUAGAUGUUGACGGUAAUCCCUUUAUAUCAGAAGACAAGCCCCUGCAUUGGCACCCAGGGGUUCUACCGCGUGACGUGAUGAUACCAAAUGGGGCCACAAUGGCAGAGGCUUUUGAAACUGAUACAACUGGCUUUUUGCCCUUGUAUGAGUUGCAUCCUCGAAUGGGAGUAGAGUUGUGGGAAGUGUUAAUCAACCCACAGGAUGGGGGGUGCCCAUUUUGGCUUUUCGGGCAGAGGUUAUUUUUAAUGACACCGGAACCUUCAGUGAGAUGGAACGAUAGGGAAAUGGCCGCUAGGCACCCCGAUUACAAAAAGCAAUCGGAAAGGAUAAGCUGGGGUUUACGAGGCAGCACACGCUGGUGCCACACGGGGAGGAGGUGGUCUGCUUCUAUGACAUGUGACAGGGUCAGAAUGGAAAGCGACCCCCUGAACUCGCGGGAUCUUAGAUCCACUGAUUGCGGGGGUCCUGAUUUAACGUACUGGGGGGAUGCUUGGGUGCCCCGCAAUAAAAAAGUCUAUGAGACACCCUUGACCCUGGGGAAUUACCCCUAUCCGGACAGGGAUACUCCUUAUUUCUUCAGUGAAAUUACUGAGGGAAGGAUGAGUUACCUGAACCCCCAUCUUUACCUAAUGACGAGAGCAGAAGCAAGGAAAGUUAAUUUUACUGCACUCAGACAGGUGAGGGAGUUAGGCGAUGGAAUGGAGACAAUUAACAUCGGGAGUGACUACAUCUCGUUUUACCAGAAACGUUACCAAAAACAAAACAGAAAAAACAACAUCCUUGAAAAAAACAGAUGUGGGGAUAUGUCCAAAAUUCCUGCCGUGGCUCGGUUCCUGGCAUUAGGGUGGAGCAUGAGUGAUGAUAAAGACAUAGAAGAGAAACUUAGCAUUGAGGACGGGGAGGGAAGUGAUUCUUCUUCAGGAGAUGAAAAAGCUGGAGUUGGUUCCCCCGCUAAAAGACGAGGAGAGGAUGGAGAUGAUAUGGGUCCGGAGUGGAAAAAGGAGAGAAUGACUCUGACGGAGGCCCUGUCUGUGUCACCUCCUCGUGCUGUCUCACAGUCUCCUGCGUGUAUGGAGAUGGAAUGGGAGAGAGAUGACAACACAGGAGAGAUCUUCUUUGCCGAAAGGGUGGCCAGAAUAUCCCCCUUCCCCACUGUGAUGAAAGUCGAGUCUGCUGAUGAAGUGGCUGACUGCUUUCCCCCGCUGGAAAAUGAAUCGGAUGAUGAUGGGGCGGAGCUGUUGGGUGCAGAGACAUUCGUGGGUGAAAGGGGGGGGGAGGCCCCCAAUGAAGGCAUAGAGACAGUGACACCUGCCCCGACUGAUGACAGUCUGGAGAGACUGGAGCGGGCGUUCUCGGUUCUCAGCGUCAUACUGGAAGACGUCAGGGGUGUCGUUAUGUCGGUUGUGAAGGAGGGUCUCACCCCGCCACAAGGGGCCUCGGAUGCCAGCAGGCUCUGAGAAGUAACGCCGUAAGGGGUUGACACCCUAGACGGGGGUGGCUACUCUGGAAACACCCGGCGGGCGACAGCUCUGACCGAUGCCGGUCAUAUAUGCUCAUGAUGAUUAAUAAGGAGGAUGUUGUACGUUGUGUGUAUUAAUCAUUCAUUCAUUAUUCUGCAAAGAAGUGUUUAUUUAACCACUACAGCUAUAUGCCUGUCCUGAUGUGUCACGCCUAUUAAAACUGCU